GAUGAACGCUGGCGGCGUGCCUAAUACAUGCAAGUCGAGCGAACAGACGAGGAGCUUGCUCCUCUGACGUUAGCGGCGGACGGGUGAGUAACACGUGGAUAACCUACCUAUAAGACUGGGAUAACUUCGGGAAACCGGAGCUAAUACCGGAUAAUAUAUUGAACCGCAUGGUUCAAUAGUGAAAGACGGUUUUGCUGUCACUUAUAGCUGGAUCCGCGCCGCAUUAGCUAGUUGGUAAGGUAACGGCAUACCAAGGCAACGAUGCGUAGCCGACCUGAGAGGGUGAUCAGCCACACUGGAACUGAGACACGGUCCAGACUCCUACGGGAGGCAGCAGUAGGGAAUCUUCCGCAAUGGGCGAAAGCCUGACGGAGCAACGCCGCGUGAGUGAUGAAGGUCUUCGGAUCGUAAAACUCUGUUAUUAGGGAAGAACAAAUGUGUAAGUAACUAUGCACGUCUUGACGGUACCUAAUGAGAAAGCCACGGCUAACUACGUG
rnacentral:rRNA from 1 species